rnacentral:rRNA from 1 species
AUCCACCUGGGGAGUACGGUCGCAAGAUUGAAACUCAAAGGAAUUGACGGGGGCCCGCACAAGCGGUGGAACAUGUGGUUUAAUUCGAUGAUACGCGAGGAACCUUACCUGGGCUUAAAUGCAGAUUGACGUUUCGGGAAACCGGAAUUCCCUUCGGGGCGAUUUGCAAGGUGCUGCAUGGUUGUCGUCAGCUCGUGCCGUGAGGUGUCGGGUUAAGUCCCAUAACGAGCGCAACCCCUAUCGUUAGUUGCCAGCGGAUCAUGCCGGGGACUCUAACGAAACUGCCGGUGUAAACCGAGAGGAAGGUGGGGAUGACGUCAAAUCAGCACGGCCCUUAUGUCCAGGGCUACACACGUGUUACAAUGGUCGGUACAGAGGGCAGCUACCUGGUGACAGGAUGCUAAUCUCGAAAGCCGGUCUUAGUUCGGAUCGAAGUCUGCAACUCGACUUCGUGAAGCUGGAAUCGCUAGUAAUCGCGCAUCAGCAACGGCGCGGUGAAUACGUUCCCGGGCCUUGUACACACCGCCCGUCAAGCCAUGGAAGCUGGGGGUACCUGAAGUCUGUAACCGCAAGGAGCGGCCUAGGGUAAAACUAGUGACUGGGGCUAAGUCGUAACAAGGUAGCCG